GAUACUCUUCGAUGUAAUCUUUUAAGGUUAGAUCUUAAGGGGCUAGUAGUUUUUUAUGGUUUUCAAAAAUGAGAUCAUGGUUCUUGUUUUGGGUUUUUAUUAUGCGUCGUAGAACUGAUUACCGGUGGAUUUAUUCAAUGACUACUGUGUAUGAGUCGACGCUAUAUAUAGUUUUUUCCUCCGUGGUUUGCCCCUUUAUCAUGAAUCGAUCGUCGAUGUCAUUUUGAUCGCAGAUGCGGAGACAUUUGAAUCUUGAUUUUAUUUUAUAUUUUCAUUUGAAUCAAGCGAAGACUCUCGUCUCCAUCACUCCAAAGCAAUAUACCAUCUUGAAAGUUAUAAUAAUUUUUCUGAUUGAGUUGAUUGAUCGAUGUAAUUAUUUCAAGAAUCAUACUCAUCAAUAGUUCUACAAAUCAUUGCAUUUCGUCUUUGUUUGCAACAGAAGAAGAAGUUUAUACCAACCAAAUGCUGCAUAUUUUGAUUUGGUUCAUAAGUUAUGAUGAGCUAUAAAUGCUUAGGCAGGAUUGAAGGUUUUAGAGACAUGAAUUGUUGCAUGGAUGCAGUGAUCACCGAUCCUCAGCAAUGAAUGAAGACAAUCGUUUUGGUUGCUGUAUAAUCUUAUGACAUCAUAUGAAUAGCACCUUAUUAUCUUUCGAAAGCUUGAUUUGUUGGACAUGUAAUCGAAAAAUCUUUUGCGAUAUUGCUUCGAUUACAUGACUUUCGUGAUUCU
rnacentral:lncRNA from 1 species